GGAGGUGUCGCAUAGUUGGUCCAUUGCGAGGGUUUGCUAAACCCUUGAGCAGAAAUGCUCGCGUGGGUUCGAAUCCCACCGCCUCCG
rnacentral:tRNA from 1 species